UACGGAGGGGGCUAGCGUUGUUCGGAAUUACUGGGCUUAAAGCGUGCGUAGACGGCUAUCUAAGUCGGGUGUGAAAGCCCCGGGCUCAACCUGGGAAUUGCAUUCGAGACUGAAUAGCUAGGGUACGGUAGAGGGAAGCGGAAUUUCCGGUGUAGCGGUGAAAUGCGUAGAUAUCGGAAGGAACAUCAGUGGCGAAGGCGGCCUUCUGGUCCAGUACUGACACUCAAGUGCGAAAGCGUGGGGAGCAAACAGG
rnacentral:rRNA from 1 species